ACCUCUGUAGCUCAGUUAGUUAGAGCGCUGCACCAGAAUCGCUGGGCCGUAGGUUCAAUUCAUACCGGAGGAC
rnacentral:tRNA from 1 species